rnacentral:piRNA from 1 species
UUGGAACAACCACUGAGCUACGGAGA